CAGUAGCCGCGGGAAUACGGAGGGUGCAAGCGUUAAUCGGAAUUACUGGGCGUAAAGCGCACGCAGGCGGUCUGUUAAGUCAGAUGUGAAAUCCCCGGGCUCAACCCGGGAACUGCAUUUGAAACUGGCAGGCUUGAGUCUUGUAGAGGGGGGUAGAAUUCCAGGUGUAGCGGUGAAAUGCGUAGAGAUCUGGAGGAAUACCGGUGGCGAAGGCGGCCCCCUGGACAAAGACUGACGCUCAGGUGCGAAAGCGUGGGGAGCAAACAGGAUUAGAUACCCGAGUAGUCCCUGUCUCUUAUAC
rnacentral:rRNA from 1 species